CCUGUGACAUACCUUAUGUUGCCUCGGCGGAUCAGCCCGCGCCCCGUAAAAAGGGACGGCCCGCCGCAGGAACCCUAAACUCUGUUUUUAGUGGAACUUCUGAGUAUAAAAAACAAAUAAAUCAAAACUUUCAACAACGGAUCUCUUGGUUCUGGCAUCGAUGAAGAACGCAGCAAAAUGCGAUAAGUAAUGUGAAUUGCAGAAUUCAGUGAAUCAUCGAAUCUUUGAACGCACAUUGCGCCCGCCAGUAUUCUGGCGGGCAUGCCUGUUCGAGCGUCAUUUCAACCCUCAAGCCCAGCUUGGUGUUGGGAGCUGCAGUCCUGCUGCACUCCCCAAAUACAUUGGCGGUCACGUCGAGCUUCCAUAGCGUAGUAAUUUACAUAUCGUUACUGGUAAUCGUCGCGGCCACGCCGUUAAACCCCAACUUCUGAAUGUUGACCUCGGAUCAGGUAGGAAUACCCGCUGAACUUAAGCAUAUCAAUAAGCGGAGGAAAAGAAA
rnacentral:rRNA from 1 species